AGGAAACUGAGAACACAGUGUACUAGCAGAUGUCUAUUUUAAAAUGAAAAUGCACAUUAUGCACUCCAUAUGUCUUAAAUGUGCAGUUUUUAAAGAAACAGGUAAGGAGCGGCUUUCUGAAAUACUUGGGAUCACUGCAGACCAGACCAGGAAAGCUUUGUACAGAAAUACAAGGAAGUCUGGCAGUGCCAAAAACAAGCUUGUGAUCAACCUGCUUCUGAGGAAGUGACCUUUGAACCCCGUGCUUGUUUCCUGUGGAAGGCCCAGCUCUUGCUGUGCUGAUGGACGUACUGGUUGAAGUGCUGCAGCUGGUUUGCCUGUCCAUGCUGUUCCACUGGACCUCAUUGCAAAUUAGAUUCUGCCUCUUAAGGAGCUGUGCUGGAGAAUUUUCAGUAAAUCAAUGAACUGGUUAUGUUGUUUCUAUCAUGGGAUGUAGGCGACCGUUGACUCAUAUCAGAGCACAAGACUACACCAAGCGCACCCAGGCAAAGAGACAGAUAGUCAACUCUGUGGUGCAAGGGACUGGGGCACUUGUCAGGUUUGAAGGGAAAAUGAAUGGAGCAAAGUACAGAGAAGUCCUUGAGGAAAACCUGCUGCCUUCUGCAAGAAAGCUGAAACUGGGAUGGAAGUUCACCUUUCAGCAUGACAACGACCCAAAGCACACAGCCAGAGCUACACUGGAGUGUCUAAGGAAC